UGUUUCUGGGUUCGAUGGGAUUGAAUGAGUGGGUGAGGAUUGUGGUGGUGUUACUGAGGGUAAGAGUAUGUCGAACAAUGGUCAUUUGAUGGUAUGGCCUUGCACAACUUCAAGGAUAGAGAGAGCGAGGGAGAAAGAGGGAGAAAGUGCUUGCCAGAUAGAAGGACACAGAAGGGAGAGAGAGAGAGAGCACGCGCAGAGACAGGAAGGCCGAAAAUUGAAGACGAAGGCCAUGCUUGUAAAGAGUGACUGAGAUUUGAAGCCCAUGCCUGCCUCUACUGAUUGAAAAGAGCAAUCGAACAUGCAAAGGUCGUGAUUGAAGCUUUAAGAAGUAAAGGUGUUUCAGGAUUAGUGUUAUAGACUUAUGUUGGCUGUUCUCAUUUCAGGGUCUUACUUGCCUUUUGCUGCAUUCUAAGGGAUUGGAGUUCUUGGUUCAUUUUGGUGAAUUGGUUAAGCAAUGACUCAUGGUCUUUAGAAAUGGCUUGGAGGCUGUGUUCAAGAGAAUGAAUAUGAUGUUGGCUUUGAUGAAAAUUAAAUUAAACCUAUCAAAUUCUUGUUCUAAGGCUCUAAUUAAUUUUCAUGACCUAACCUCAUGCUCAGCUGUUUUAUUUGAACAUUCCAAAAGUUAUCUAAGAGAACUUGUUGCUUAUCAAUGAUUCAUGGUACCAUUGACCUAUACCUCAAAGUUGAAUUUUAGAUUCCUUCAACUAUGGUGCCAUUAAAGUUAAAGGUGGGUAUUGGUGGUGAUGCUGGUCUGUUUAUCCUAUUUUGAAAUCGACUGAAUAGUGGAGGUCCAUGAUGCAUCAUUAUGUUAUUGAAAUGUGCUUUUCUGCCU